GAGGGAAUAGCUCAGAGACAGAGUGCAUGCUUAGCAUGCACAAGGUCCUGAGUUCAAUCCUCAGUACCUCCA
rnacentral:tRNA from 1 species